rnacentral:rRNA from 1 species
CGAACGGGGAGAUUCAUCGUCAGCGGACGCCGGCUUCGCGUCGGUCGGCGAUGUCCCGCGGGGGCCCUCGCGGCUCUCAGCGCCGAGACGCUGCCGUGCGCCGAUGUAUCCGGCUUCGCCGUCGUGCACUUCUCCCCUGGUAGAACGUCGCGACCCGCUGGGUGUCGGUCUACGGCCCGGGUGCGGUGGCUGACACGCCACCGGUAAAACGGCGCGCGUCUAACACCCGGUCGCCCGGCCGGCUGCCCGGCGGUACGCGCAAGGUAUCAGGCCGCACACAUUAAAACGGUGCGUCGAGGCCGUCGCAAGCGCGCGCCACGGUACACGGAGGUACGGACCUAGCGCCGUCACCGGUCCUGGCCCGCUGUUGGUCGUACGGUUAACCUUCGACAGGCCUACGAACGUCCGAACGUGUCGGAGUCUCUCCCGCUC